CCAGGGUCUUCUGGCAACUCUUUGUUGGCUUGCGAGCUGGGAAAACCAAACGUUAGUCAGGCCAAUCACAUCGUGUGUAGAGUCGGUGGGCGGGCUUAAC